rnacentral:rRNA from 1 species
UCGCUGUAGGUGAACCUGCAGCGAGGAUCAUUA